AGAGCGAACGCUGGCGGCAGGCCUAACACAUGCAAGUCGAGCGCUCCGCAAGGGGAGCGGCAGACGGGAGAGUAACACGUGGGAACGUACCCUUCAGUUCGGAACAACCCAGGGAAACUUGGGCUAAUACCGAAUACGUCCGUAAGGAGAAAGAUUUAUCGCUGAAGGAUCGGCCCGCGUCUGAUUAGCUUGUUGGUGAGGUAACGGCUCACCAAGGCGACGAUCAGUAGCUGGUCUGAGAGGAUGAUCAGCCUCACUGGGACUGAGACACGGCCCAGACUCCUACGGGAGGCAGCAGUGGGGAAUAUUGGACAAUGGGCGCAAGCCUGAUCCAGCCAUGCCGCGUGGGUGAUGAAGGCCCUAGGGUUGUAAAGCCCUUUCGGCGGGGAAGAUAAUGACGGUACCCGCAGAAGAAGCCCGGCUAACUUCGUGCCAGCAGCCGC
rnacentral:rRNA from 1 species